GGGGUCGACUGGAAUUGACGAUAAGUUCAGAUGCGAUGUAAGCAUGCGGGGUGUUGUAAGUAGUACCUCUACCAACAAACUUUCACUAUAUGUAAUUGGCAACAAUCAAGUAAUGCCUGCCAUGGCUGCUUAGUUGAUAACUAAGCACCGGCUGUCUUGCUAGCUUUUUGCUCUACAAGGCUAGCACCAAGACAUCAUCUAGUAGAACUAGUUAUAGUAGGUUACGUGAUGCUAUAGCGAAAUUGAGCGCGUAUAAGGAUUGUUCUAAGGUGCGUAACUAACCUAGGAGCAUCCCGACAAUAGAUAGUUACUAAGCAUGUAGAAAGCGUUGUUUUUGCUUGUUCGGACGAGGGUUCGAUUCCCUCCGGCUCCACAA
rnacentral:tmRNA from 1 species